UUUCAUACUAAGUCUUUUUUUUUGUGUGGAAUCCGCAGCUGCUGCGACAGGGGGGGAUAUUGUAAUGGCUCAUCCGCCCGGGAGUUCGGGAUACACCACAAAUACACUGGUGGAUGCACUGAUGGACACGACGAGUGAUCUCUUCCAAUCGAUGUUUGUGAGAAAGCGAUGAUCGGAGUUCAUUUCAUGGUAGGUUGGUGGACAAAGCUUGUGUUUUCACCCCUAGAGCUUUGCUCAUGAAUGCUAUGGCUCUUUCCCCUUUGCUUGCCCUCAUUCUAGCUAGCCCCAAAAAAGGACAGGACCCACAGGGCAAUAAAAUAAAUAGUAGAUCAUGUCCUAACCAACCAACAUAACAUAAAGAAAGAAGAAAGUGGUCGAGAAGUGAUCCACUUUAGUCGACUUUCCCCUUCCCGUAAAGUGGAUCUGCCUUCCCCCGCUCAAUAACACAGCUAUUAUCGUAUCGCAAGCAGCAAGCGCUAAAAGAGAAGUGCCCAGCACUAACGCUAUAAGAAGACCUUAUCACGG
rnacentral:lncRNA from 1 species